rnacentral:rRNA from 1 species
CCUACGGGUGGCAGCAGUGAGGAAUAUUGGUCAAUGGGCGUAAGCCUGAACCAGCCAAGUAGCGUGCAGGAUGACGGCCCUACGGGUUGUAAACUGCUUUUAUACGGGGAUAACGCGCCUUACGUGUAGUGCUUUGUAUGUACCGCAUGAAUAAGGACCGGCUAAUUCCGUGCCAGCAGCCGCGGUAAUACGGAAGGUCCGGUCGUUAUCCGGAUUUAUUGGGUUUAAAGGGAGCGUAGGCCGCAGGUCAAGCGUGCCGUGAAAUGCCCGGGCUCAACCCGGGCCUUGCAGCGCGAACUGGCGUGCUUGAGUCCGCGGAAAGCAGGCGGAAUU